AAUAAGAUUACUUACACGUUUCUGCACCAAAUUCGUAUGUGAAACGUAGAAACUGAAUGAUUGAAAAAAGAAAAUUUGAGAAAUUACGGACUGAUCGAAGAGCACAAGUGUAAUGGUUGCUGGAUACCGCGCGAAUGAGGUGAGUAUUCUAUUAACUGUGAUCUGAUUGGUUGUUUGUCUUACGUUCACCUUACGUGUUGAUCACGUGAUAUUCAAUAUGUUUAUCAUGAAAUGUAUAAUAACAUACAAAUAAUGUAUUACUUUAUGAAUAUCGAUUUCUUUAAUGUUAUUUUAAUAUUAUUUUUUUAAUCUAUGUCACUUUUAAUUUUUUCUUAUAUUUAUUAUACACUCAGUACUACAUACAUGAUAUACUACAUAUAUCAAGAUAAAUAACCUGACUGUUGACCAUUUGUGUCUUUCUCUAUUCGUUAUAUGCAUAAAUAACCUUGAUUGUAAAAAAUUUAGAUACUUUAAAUUACUGGAAUUAAAAUAUAGAUAUGUAACAUCAAUCUCAUAUUGUUGACAUCCUAUAUCGAAGAAAAUCUUAUACGCAUCAAAGUUCAAUAAUUUGUUCUUUAAAUAAAUUAAUGCUUCAUGGAUGGAAUUACAAGUCCAAUUAAAGUAGAUCCGGAAUUUAAUUGGAUUUUUCGAACCUGUUCAAAUGCCCUCAACGUAUAUAUAACGAUGUAUCAAAUCAUCAUUUACGACAAUGCAUUAGAUAUGCAAGUGGAUCAUUUACAAGCUUUAUCGUAUCCCGUUUUAUUAGCUUUACUGGAUUUUUUGAUUUAUAUGGUAGUACAGUAAAGGAUCAUUUCUUGCAAAAUUAUUUUAAUGGAUUAAAAAACGGAUACAUGGUUUUCAUAAACUUAUUCUUUAUUAAGUCUACU